rnacentral:rRNA from 1 species
UACAGAGGUCUCAAGCGUUGUUCGGAUUCAUUGGGCGUAAAGGGUGCGUAGGCGGCGCGGUAAGUCGGGUGUGAAAUCUCGGGGCUUAACUCCGAAACUGCAUUCGAUACUGCCGUGCUUGAGGACUGGAGAGGAGACUGGAAUUCAUGGUGUAGCAGUGAAAUGCGUAGAGAUCAUGAGGAAGACCAGUGGCGAAGGCGGGUCUCUGGACAGUUCCUGACACUGAGGCACGAAGGCCAGGGGAGCAAACGGG